AGAGUUUGAUCCUGGCUCAGAGCGAACGCUGGCGGCAGGCUUAACACAUGCAAGUCGAGCGCCCGUAGCAAUACGGGAGCGGCAGACGGGAGAGUAACACGUGGGAACAUGCCCUUCGGUUCGGAAUAACUCAGGGAAACUUGAGCUAAUACCGGAUACGUCCGUAAGGAGAAAGAUUUAUCGCCGAAGGAUUGGCCCGCGUCCGAUUAGCUUGUUGGUGAGGUAAUGGCUCACCAAGGCGACGAUCGGUAGCUGGUCUGAGAGGAUGAUCAGCCUCACUGGGACUGAGACACGGCCCAGACUCCUACGGGAGGCAGCAGUGGGGAAUAUUGGACAAUGGGCGCAAGCCUGAUCCAGCCAUGCCGCGUGGGUGAUGAAGGCCUUCGGGUCGUAAAGCUCUGUGGGGAGGGACGAACAAAUCUGGGGCUAAUCACCCGGAUCCUGACGGUACCUCCUUAGCAAGCACCGGCUAACCCUGUGCCAGCAGCCGCGGUAAUAC
rnacentral:rRNA from 1 species